GCCAGCCGCCGCGGUAAUACGUAGGGUGCGAGCGUUGUUCGGAAUUACUGGGCGUAAAGGGCGUGCAGGCGGAUUGGCAAGCCGGAGGUGAAAGCCCGGGGCUCAACCCCGGAGGGUCUUUCGGAACUGCCAGUCUUGAGAGGGUCAGGGGCCAGCGGAAUUCCUGGUGUAGAGGUGAAAUUCGUAGAGAUCAGGAGGAACACCGGCGGCGAAAGCGGCUGGCUGGGGCCACUCUGACGCUGAGGCGCGAAAGCGUGGGGAGCAAACAGGAUUAGAUACCCUGGUAGUCCACGCCGUAAACGAUGGGCACUAAGCGUCCGACGGGUUCGACCCUGUUGGGUGCUGCAGUUAACGCGUUAAGUGCCCCGCCUGGGGAGUACGGUCGCAAGACUA
rnacentral:rRNA from 1 species